rnacentral:rRNA from 1 species
GACGAACGCUGGCGGCGUGCUUAACACAUGCAAGUCGAACGGAAAGGCCCUGCUUUUGUGGGGUGCUCGAGUGGCGAACGGGUGAGUAACACGUGAGUAACCUGCCCUUGACUUUGGGAUAACUUCAGGAAACUGGGGCUAAUACCGGAUAGGAGCUCCUGCUGCAUGGGGGGGGUUGGAAAGUUUCGGCGGUUGGGGAUGGACUCGCGGCUUAUCAGCUUGUUGGUGGGGUAGUGGCUUACCAAGGCUUUGACGGGUAGCCGGCCUGAGAGGGUGACCGGCCACAUUGGGACUGAGAUACGGCCCAGACUCCUACGGGAGGCAGCGGUGGGGAAUCUUGCACAAUGGGCGGAAGCCUGAUGCAGCAACGCCGCGUGCGGGAUGACGGCCUUCGGGUUGUAAACCGCUUUCGCCUGUGACGAAGCGUGAGUGACGGUAAUGGGUAAAGAAGCACCGGCUAACUACGUG